UACGUAGGGACCAAGCGUUGUUCGGAUUUACUGGGCGUAAAGGGCGCGUAGGCGGCAAUUCAAGUCAUCUGUGAAAUCUCCGGGCUUAACUCGGAACGGUCAGAUGAUACUGCUUUGCUAGAGUGCGGAAGGGGCAAUCGGAAUUCUUGGUGUAGCGGUGAAAUGCGUAGAUAUCAUUUGGAACGCCAAUGGUGAAAACAGGUAGCUGGGGCUGUGCUGACACUGAGACACGAAAGCCAGGGGAGCAAACGGG
rnacentral:rRNA from 1 species